GCAUCUUGACGGUACCUAAUCAGAAAGCCACGGCUAACUACGUGCCAGCAGCCGCGGUAAUACGUAGGUGGCAAGCGUUAUCCGGAAUUAUUGGGCGUAAAGCGCGCGUAGGCGGUUUUUUAAGUCUGAUGUGAAAGCCCACGGCUCAACCGUGGAGGGUCAUUGGAAACUGGAAAACUUGAGUGCAGAAGAGGAAAGUGGAAUUCCAUGUGUAGCGGUGAAAUGCGCAGAGAUAUGGAGGAACACCAGUGGCGAAGGCGACUUUCUGGUCUGUAACUGACGCUGAUGUGCGAAAGCGUGGGGAUCAAACAGGAUUAGAU
rnacentral:rRNA from 1 species